ACAUACGACCAUACCCAGCUAAAAAUACGGCAUCCCGUCCGCUCUGCCCGAGUCAAAUAGCUGAAGGGCCGAAUCAGUACUCAGGUGGGUGACCACUGGGGAAUCCUCGGUGUUGUAUGUU
rnacentral:rRNA from 1 species